rnacentral:rRNA from 1 species
UACGGGGGUGGCAAGCGUUGUUCGGAAUUACGGGGCGUAAAGGGCUCGUAGGCGGCCAACUAAGUCAGACGUGAAAUCCCUCGGCUUAACCGGGGAACUGCGUCUGAUACUGGAUGGCUUGAGUUUGGGAGAGGGAUGCGGAAUUCCAGGUGUAGCGGUGAAAUGCGUAGAUAUCUGGAGGAACACCGGUGGCGAAGGCGGCAUCCUGGACCAACACUGACGCUGAGGAGCGAAAGCCAGGGGAGCAAACGGG